rnacentral:rRNA from 1 species
AGUGAACGCUGGCGGUAGGCCUAACACAUGCCAGUCGAACGGCAGCACAGUAAGAGCUUGCUCUUACGGGUGGCGAGUGGCGGACGGGUGAGGAAUACAUCGGAAUCUACUUUUUCGUGGGGGAUAACGUAGGGAAACUUACGCUAAUACCGCAUACGACCUACGGGUGAAAGCAGGGGAUCUUCGGACCUUGCGCUAUUGAAUGAGCCGAUGUCGGAUUAGCUAGUUGGCGGGGUAAAGGCCCACCAAGGCGACGAUCCGUAGCUGGUCUGAGAGGAUGAUCAGCCACACUGGAACUGAGACACGGUCCAGACUCCUACGGGAGGCAGCAGUGGGGAAUAUUGGACAAUGGGCGCAAGCCUGAUCCAGCCAUACCGCGUGGGUGAAGAAGGCCUUCGGGUUGUAAAGCCCUUUUGUUGGGAAAGAAAAGCAGCAGGUUAAUACCCCGCUGUUCUGACGGUACCCAAAGAAUAAGCACCGGCUAACCUCGUG